rnacentral:rRNA from 1 species
AUACGUAGGGGGCAAGCGUUGUCCGGAAUUAUUGGGCGUAAAGCGCGCGCAGGCGGUCUCUUAAGUCUGAUGUGAAAUCUCGCGGCUCAACCGCGAGCGGUCACUGGAAACUGGGGGACUUGAGUGUAGGAGAGGAAAGUGGAAUUCCACGUGUAGCGGUGAAAUGCGUAGAGAUGUGGAGGAACACCAGUGGCGAAGGCGACUUUCUGGCCUAUAACUGACGCUGAGGCGCGAAAGCGUGGGGAGCAAACAGGAUUAGAUACCCUGGUAGUCCACGCCGUAAACGAUGAGUGCUAGGUGUUAGGGGUUUCGAUACCCUUAGUGCCGGCGUUAACACAUUAGGCACUCCGCCUGGGGAGUACGGCCGCAAGGCUGAA